rnacentral:rRNA from 1 species
GAUGAACGCUGGCGGCGUGCCUAAUACAUGCAAGUCGAGCGAACGGACGAGACGCUUGCUUCUCUGAUGUUAGCGGCGGACGGGUGAGUAACACGUGGCUAACCUACCUAUAAGACUGGGAUAACUUCGGGAAACCGGAGCUCAUACCGGAUAAUAUUUUGAACCGCAUGGUUCAAAAGUGAUAGACGGUCUUGCUGUCACUUAUAGAUGGAUCCGCGCUGCAUUAGCUAGUUGGUAAGGUAACGGCUUACCAAGGCAACGAUGCAUAGCCGACCUGAGAGGGUGAUCGGCCACACUGGAACUGAGACACGGUCCAGACUCCUACGGGAGGCAGCAGUAGGGAAUCUUCCGAAAUGGGCGAAAGCCUGACGGAGCAACGCCGCGUGAGUGAUGAAGGUCUUCGGAUCGUAAAACUCUGUUAUUAGGGAAGAACAUAUGUGUAAGUAACUGUGCACAUCUUGACGGUACCUAAUCAGAAAGCCACGGCUAACUACGUG